rnacentral:rRNA from 1 species
CAGCCGCCGCGGGAAUACGAGGGGGGCAAGCGUUGUUCGGAAUUACUGGGCGUAAAGCGCACGUAGGCGGAUAUUUAAGUCAGGGGUGAAAUCCCGCAGCUCAACUGCGGAACUGCCUUUGAUACUGGGUAUCUCGAGUCCGGAAGAGGUGAGUGGAAUUCCGAGUGUAGAGGUGAAAUUCGUAGAUAUUCGGAGGAACACCAGGGGCGAAGGCGGCUCACUGGUCCGGUACUGACGCUGAGGUGCGAAAGCGUGGGGAGCAAACAGGAUUAGAGACCCCUGUAGUCCCUGUCUCUUAUAC